rnacentral:rRNA from 1 species
GACAGAGGGUGCAAACGUUGUUCGGAAUUACUGGGCGUAAAGCGAGUGUAGGCGGUCUGAAAAGUCGGGUGUGAAAGCCCUGGGCUCAACCCCAGGAAGUGCACUCGAAACUGCCAGGCUAGAGUGUCGGAGAGGUUGGUGGAAUUCUCGGUGUAGAGGUGAAAUUCGUAGAUAUCGAGAGGAACACCGGUGGCGAAGGCGGCCAACUGGACGAACACUGACGCUGAGACUCGAAAGCGUGGGGAGCAAACAGG